rnacentral:rRNA from 1 species
AUUGAACGCUGGCGGAAUGCUUUACACAUGCAAGUCGAACGGCAGCACGGACUUCGGUCUGGUGGCGAGUGGCGAACGGGUGAGUAAUGUAUCGGAACGUGCCCAGUCGUGGGGGAUAACGUAGUGAAAAUUACGCUAAUACCGCAUACGAUCUAUGGAUGAAAGCGGGGGAUCGCAAGACCUCGCGCGAUUGGAGCGGCCGAUAUCAGAUUAGGUAGUUGGUGGGGUAAAGGCCCACCAAGCCAACGAUCUGUAGCUGGUCUGAGAGGACGACCAGCCAGACUGGAACAGAGACACGGUCCAGACUCCUACGGGAGGCAGCAGUGGGGAAUUUUGGACAAUGGGCGAAAGCCUGAUCCAGCCAUUCCGCGUGCAGGAUGAAGGCCCUCGGGUUGUAAACUGCUUUUGUACAGAACGAAAAGGUUUCUACUAAUACUAGGAGCUCAUGACGGUACUGUAAGAAUAAGCACCGGCUAACUACGUGCCAGCAGCCGCAGUAA